rnacentral:rRNA from 1 species
AUGAUGGGAAUGGUGGACGCCGAGGCUCCCUUCCUUACGGAGCACACGGAAGAUGGGCCACCGCUCGCUGGUGUCUCCGACUUCCACGGCCGCUUCGUCUACCACAGCACCUCCGGCGGGUGGCGCUCCGCCCUCUUCGUCGUCGUGAUGGAGGUCGCCAGCGCUUUCUCCUACUAUGGCGUGUCGGCGAACCUGAUCACGUACCUGACGGGGCCGCUGGGCCACUCCAACGCCGCCGCAGCUGCCGGCGUGAAUGUCUGGUCGGGAACGGCCACGCUGAUGCCGUUGCUGGGCGCCUUCGUCGCCGACUCAUGGCUGGGGCGCUACCGGUCCAUCAUCCUUGCCUGCAUCCUCUACGUCAUGGGGUAUGCCAUGAUCACUCUAUCAUCGGUGCUCUCGACACAUCAUCCAUCAUUACCCGACGACACCUCUUCCCAUCCCUUGUCGCUGCAGGUGGCCUUCUUCUACGCCUCCCUCUAUCUCAUUGCCAUCGCGCAGGGUGCAGACAAUCCAUGUGCACUGGCCUUUGCUGCUGACCAGUUCGAUCCCGACCACCCUAGGGAGUGCGCCGCCCGCAGCUCUUUGUUCAAUUGGUGGUACUUCUCCUUGGCUAUAGGUAUCACCAUUUCUGUUGGUGUAGUCAGCUACAUCCAGGAGAACCUUGGUUGGGGAAUUGGAUUUGGCAUGCUCUGUGCCCUCAUGCUAUGUGCCUUCGUUGUCUUCCUCCUCGGCACCCCUACAUAUCGCCUCUAUGAGGCCACUCCCGGCACGGAUAGCCCCUUCGUGCUCCUUGCUCGUAGCCUCGCUGUGCUAGUCCAACAUGACAAUGCCACUUCAAGCUCAAUGCUUGGUACAAAAAUAGAAUGCCAGCUAGAAGCCAAGGACGUUGCAACCAAGAAGGAGGACGCACGUGCUGUGCUGCGGUUGUUGUCGAUUUGGGUGGCGUGCCUGGCUUAUGGUGUGGCAUUUGCACAAGUCAUGACGCUCUUUAACAAGCAGGGCCGCACCCUGGACCGCCGCAUCUUUGGAGGCCUGGAGCUGCCACCGGCGGCGCUGCAAACGUUGGGGCCUGCAUCAAUCCUAUUGUUUGUCCCCAUAUAUGACCGUGUGCUGGUGCCGGCGCUGCGGCGCACCACGGGCACCUUAUCGGGGCUAACGCUGCUACAACGUGUGGGCACGGGCAUGGCGCUGACCCUGGCCUCGAUGUCUGUGGCAGCAUUGGUGGAAAGACGACGCCUUGAGACGGCACGGGAGCACGGCCUGGUGGACGACCCGGAGGCAACGGUGCCGAUGUGCUGGGCAUGGCUGGUGCCACAAUACGUUUUGAUUGGGGUCGCAGGUGUGUUUGCGGAAGUGGGGAUGCAGGAGUUCUUCUAUGAUCAGAUGCCCAGUGAGCUACGCAGCUUGGGCAUGGCACUCUACUAUAGCGUGAUCGGCAUGGGUAACUUCAUCAGCGGCACUCUUGUCUCCCUAAUCGACCGCAUCACCAGCAGCGGUGGUGGCGACAGCUGGUUCGCGGACAACCUUAACCGUGCUCACCUCGACUACUUCUACUGGUUGCUCGCCGGCUUCAGCGCCGCCCAACUUGCGCUCUACCUCCGCUUCGCAAGUACCUAUGUCUACAGCCACAAGAGGCUCCGCUGA